rnacentral:rRNA from 1 species
GACGAACGCUGGCGGCGUGCUUAACACAUGCAAGUCGAACGGAAAGGCCCUGCUUUUGUGGGGUGCUCGAGUGGCGAACGGGUGAGUAACACGUGAGUAACCUGCCCUUGACUUUGGGAUAACUUCAGGAAACUGGGGCUAAUACCGGAUAGGAGCUCCUGCUGCAUGGUGGGGGUUGGAAAGUUUCGGCGGUUGGGGAUGGACUCGCGGCUGAUCAGCUUGUUGGUGGGGGAGUGGCUUACCAAGGCUUUGACGGGUAGCCGGCCGGAGAGGGUGACCGGCCACAUUGGGACUGCGAUACGGCCCAGACUCCUACGGGAGGCAGCAGUGGGGAAUAUUGCACAAUGGGCGGAAGCCUGAUGCAGCAACGCCGCGUGCGGGAUGACGGCCUUCGGGUUGUAAACCGCUUUCGCCUGUGACGAAGCGUGAGUGACGGUAAUGGGUAAAGAAGCACCGGCUAACUACGUG